ACAAACUUGGUCAUUUAGAGGAAGUAAAAGUCGUAACAAGGUUUCCGUAGGUGAACCUGCGGAAGGAUCAUUACAAAUCAUGGGGGGGUGUGAGUUGGAGGAGGAGGGGGGGAGUUGAUGAUCUGGGCUUGAUCGGUUGAUCCGGACUCUUGAUUAGAUCGUUGAUCUGGGCUCUUGACUAGAUCGUUGAUCCGGACUCUUGAUUAGAUCGUCGAUCUGGACUCUGGAUCGAACUCCCUACCAUAUCCCCACCACUCUACACCGGAUCCACAUUUGCGCUUGUUGUGUUUGACAGAGUAAUAUACCCAAAUUAAAUGACAACUUUUAACAAUGGAUCUCUUGGCUCUUGCAUCGAUGAAGAACGCAGC
rnacentral:misc_RNA from 1 species